UCCACGCCGUAAACGGUGGGCGCUAGUUGUGCGACCUUUCCACGGUUUGUGCGACGCAGCUAACGCAUUAAGCGCCCCGCCUGGGGAGUACGAUCGCAAGAUUAAAACUCAAAGGAAUUGACGGGGCCCCCGCACAAGCAGCGGAGCAUGCGGCUUAAUUCGACGCAACGCGAAGAACCUUACCAAGGCUUGACAUAUACAGGAAUAUGGCAGAGAUGUCAUAGCCGCAAGGUCUGUAUACAGGUGGUGCAUGGUUGUCGUCAGCUCGUGUCGUGAGAUGUUGGGUUAAGUCACGCAACGAGCGCAACCCUCGUUCUGUGUUGCCAGCAUUAAGUUGGGGACUCACAGGAGACUGCCGGGGUUAACUCGGAGGAAGGUGGGGAUGACGUCAAAUCAUCAUGCCCCUUAUGUCUUGGGCUGCACGCAUGCUACAAUGGCUGGUACAAACGGCUGCGAUACCGCAAGGUGGAGCGAAUCCGAUAAAGCCAGUCUCAGUUCGGAUUGGGGUCUGCAACUCGACCCCAUGAAGUCGGAGUUGCUAGUAAUCGUAGAUCAGCAACGCUACGGUGGAUACGUUCCCGGGGCUUGUACACACCGCCCGUCACAUCACGAAAGUCGGUAACACCCAAAGUCAUUGGCCUGCCGUAAGGAGGGAGCUGCCAAAGGUGGGAUCG
rnacentral:rRNA from 1 species